rnacentral:misc_RNA from 1 species
UUUCCGUAAGUGAACCUGCGGAAGGAUCAUUCAUAAUAAAGUGUUUUAUGGCACUUUUUAAAAAUCCAUAUCCACCUUGUGUGCAAUGUUAGAUCUCGUCAAUCUUGGCGAGAUUUUUAUACAUCAACUCAUUCUUUAACUAAUUUGUCUGAAAAAUAUUAUGAAUACUUAAUUCAAAAUACAACUUUCAACAACGGAUCUCUUGGCUCUC